rnacentral:rRNA from 1 species
GACAGAGGGUGCAAACGUUGCUCGGAAUCACUGGGCAUAAAGCGCACGUAGGCCGUCUACUAAGUCCAAUGUGAAAUCCCCCGGCUCAACCGGGGAACUGCAUCGGAUACUGGUGGACUCGAGAGUUGUAGGGGUGGACGGAACUCCAGGUGGAGCGGUGAAAUGCGUAGAUAUCUGGAGGAACACCGGAGGCGAAAGCGGUCCACUGGGCAACUUCUGACGCUGAGGUGCGAAAGCUAGGGUAGCAAACGGGAUUAGAUACCCCGGUAGUCCUAGCCGUAAACGAUGGGCACUAGGCAAGGGAGGUACCUAUGUCCUUCCUUGCCGGAGCUAAUGUGUUAAGUGCCCCGCCUGGGGAGUACGCUCGCAAGGGUAAA